UGGGGAAUAUUGGACAAUGGGCGCAAGCCUGAUCCAGCAAUGCCGCGUGUGUGAAGAAGGCCUUCGGGUUGUAAAGCACUUUUAUCAGGAGCGAAACGCUGUCGGCUAAUACCCGGCGGAACUGACGGUACCUGAGGAAUAAGCACCGGCUAACUUCGUGCCAGCAGCCGCGGUAAUACGAAGGGUGCAAGCGUUAAUCGGAAUUACUGGGCGUAAAGCGUGCGUAGGCGGUUUCUUAAGUCUGCUGUGAAAUCCCCGGGCUCAACCUGGGAAUGGCAGUGGAUACUGGGAGGCUAGAGUGUGUCAGAGGGUGGUGGAAUUCCCGGUGUAGCGGUGAAAUGCGUAGAGAUCGGGAGGAACAUCAGUGGCGAAGGCGGCCACCUGGGACAACACUGACGCUGAGGCACGAAAGCGUGGGGAGCAAACAGGAUUAGAUACCCUGGUAGUCCACGCCCUAAACGAUGCGAACUGGAUGUUGGUCUCAACUCGGAGAUCAGUGUCGAAGCUAACGCGUUAAGUUCGCCGCCUGGGGGAGUACGGUCGCAAGACUGAAACUCAAAUGAAUUGACGGGGUCAUAGCUGUUUCCUG
rnacentral:rRNA from 1 species